rnacentral:rRNA from 1 species
CACCGAGCGGAACUCGAAAGCCUGUCUCAGUUCGGAUCGGAGUCUGCAACCCGACUCCGUGAAGCUGGAUUCGCUAGUAAUCGCGCAUCAGCCAUGGCGCGGUGAAUACGUUCCCGGGCCUUGUACACACCGCCCGUCAAGCCAUGGAAGCCGGGAGUGCCUGAAGUAUGCAACCGCAAGGAGCGUCCUAAGGUAAAACCGGUGACUGGGGCUAAGUCGUAACAAGGUACC